CGAAAGCCUGACGGAGCAAUACCGCGUGAAGGAUGAAGGCCUAUGGGUCGUAAACUUCUUUUCUCAGAGAAGAAUUUUGACGGUAUCUGAGGAAUAAGCAUCGGCUAACUCUGUGCCAGCAGCCGCGGUAAUACAGAGGAUGCAAGCGUUAUCCGGAAUGAUUGGGCGUAAAGCGUCUGUAGGUGGUUUGACAAGUCUUCUGUCAAAGAUCAGGGCUUAACCCUGGGCAGGCAGGAGAAACUAUCAGGCUUGAGUUCGGUAGGGGCAGAGGGAAUUCCCGGUGGAGCGGUGAAAUGCGUAGAUAUCGGGAGGAACACCAACGGCGAAAGCACUCUGCUGG
rnacentral:rRNA from 1 species